rnacentral:rRNA from 1 species
CACCUACGGGUGGCAGCAGUAAGGAAUAUUGGUCAAUGGACGCAAGUCUGAACCAGCCAUGCCGCGUGGAGGAUUAAGGCCCUCUGGGUUGUAAACUCCUUUUAUCUGGGAAGAAAUGUCUGCAUUCUUGCGGACUUGACGGUACCAGAGGAAUAAGCACCGGCUAACUCCGUGCCAGCAGCCGCGGUAAUACGGAGGGUGCAAGCGUUAUCCGGAUUCACUGGGUUUAAAGGGUGCGUAGGCGGACAGGUAAGUCAGUGGUGAAAUCUCCGAGCUUAACUCGGAAACUGCCGUUGAUACUAUUUGUCUUGAAUAUUGUGGAGGUAAGCGGAAUAUGUCAUGUAGCGGUGAAAUGCUUAGAUAUGACAUAGAACACCAAUUGCGAAGGCAGCUUACUACACAAUUAUUGACGCUGAGGCACGAAAGCGUGGGGAUCAAACAGGAUUAGAUACCCUGGUAGUCCACGCCCUAAACGAUGAUUACUCGACAUACGCGAUAUACUGUGUGUGUCUGAGCGAAAGCAUUAAGUA